GACGAACGCUGGCGGCGUGCUUAACACAUGCAAGUCGAACGGUGAAAGAAGAGCUUGCUCUUCUUGAUCAUUGGCGAACGGGUGAGUAACACGUGAGUAACCUGCCCCUAACUCUGGAGUAAGCGCUCGAAACGGCGUCUCAUACCGGAUACGAUACAUAGCUGCAUGUCUACUGUCUGUGAAGUCUUUCGGUAUGGGAUGGACUCGCGGCCUAUCAGCUUGUUGGUGAGGUAACGGCUCACAAAGGCAACGACGGGUAGCCGGCCUGAGAGGGCUACCGGCCACACUGGGACUGAGAGACGGACCAGACGCGUACGGGAGGCAGCAGUGGGGAAUAUUGCGCAAUGGGCGAACGCCUGAUGCAGAGACGCCGCGUGAGGGAUGACGGCCUUCGGGUUGUAAACCUCUGUCAGCAGGGAAGAAGCGAAAGUGACGGUACCUGCAGAAGAAGCAACGGCUAACUACGUG
rnacentral:rRNA from 1 species